GGUAGGGUUAGAUUAGGAGUAGGGGUAGUGGUAGGGUUAGGGAUAGGGUUAAGGGUAGGGUGAGGAAUAGGGUUAGGGUUACCCUACCCUACCCUAACCCUACCCCUAACCCUACUCCAACCACUAACCCCAAC